rnacentral:rRNA from 1 species
UAAUGGGUGAUAGCGUGCCUUUUGUAGAAUGAACCGGCGAGUUACGAUUUGUUGCAAGGUUAAGCGGAAAAAGCGGAGCCGUAGCGAAAGCGAGUCUGAAUAGGGCGCAUAAGUAACAGGUCGUAGACCCGAAACCAGGUGAUCUACCCAUGUCCAGGAUGAAGGUAAGGUAAUACUUACUGGAGGUCCGAACCCACGCACGUUGAAAAGUGCGGGGAUGAGGUGUGGGUAGCGGAGAAAUUCCAAUCGAACUUGGAGAUAGCUGGUUCUCUCCGAAAUAGCUUUAGGGCUAGCCUCGAGGUAAAGAGUCAUGGAGGUAGAGCACUGUUUGGACUAGGGGCCCUUCUCGGGUUACCGAAUUCAGAUAAACUCCGAAUGCCAUGUACUUAUACUCGGGAGUCAGACUGCGAGUGAUAAGAUCCGUAGUCGAAAGGGAAACAGCCCAGACCACCAGUUAAGGUCCCCAAAUAUAUGUUAAGUGGAAAAGGAUGUGGGGUUGCUUAGACAACCAGGAUGUUGGCUUAGAAGCAGCCACCAUUGAAAGAGUGCGUAAUAGCUCACUGGUCGAGUGACCCCGCGCCGAAAAUGUACCGGGGCUAAACAUAUUACCGAAACUGUGGAUGAACCUCUUUAGAGGUUCGUGGUAGGAGAGCGUUCUAAGGGCGGUGAAGUCAGACCGGAAGGACUGGUGGAGCGCUUAGAAGUGAGAAUGCCGGUAUGAGUAGCGAAAGAAGGGUGAGAAUCCCUUCCACCGAAUAUCUAAGGUUUCCUGAGGAAGGCUCGUCCGCUCAGGGUUAGUCGGGACCUAAGCCGAGGCCGAUAGGCGUAGGCGAUGGACAACAGGUAGAGAUUCCUGUACCAGUGCUAAUUGUUUAACCGAUGGGGUGACACAGAAGGAUAGGGAAUCGCACGAAUGGAAAUGUGCGUCCAAGCAGUGAGUGUGAGAAGUAGGCAAAUCCGCUUCUCGCGAAGCAUGAGCUGUGAUGGGGAAGGAAAUUAAGUACGGAAGUUCCUGAUUUCACGCUGUCAAGAAAAGCCUCUAGGAAGAGUAGUACUGCCCGUACCGCAAACCGACACAGGUAGAUGAGGAGAGAAUCCUAAGGUGAGCGAGAGAACUCUCGUUAAGGAACUCGGCAAAAUGACCCCGUAACUUCGGGAGAAGGGGUGCUCUAUUAGGGUGCAAGCCCGAGAGAGCCGCAGUGAAUAGGCCCAGGCGACUGUUUAGCAAAAACACAGGUCUCUGCAAAACCGUAAGGUGACGUAUAGGGGCUGACGCCUGCCCGGUGCUGGAAGGUUAAGAGGAGUGCUUAGCUUCGGCGAAGGUACGAAUUGAAGCCCCAGUAAACGGCGGCCGUAACUAUAACGGUCCUAAGGUAGCGAAAUUCCUUGUCGGGUAAGUUCCGACCCGCACGAAAGGCGCAACGAUCUGGGCACUGUCUCAACGAGAGACUCGGUGAAAUUAUAGUACCUGUGAAGAUGCAGGUUACCCGCGACAGGACGGAAAGACCCCGUGGAGCUUUACUGCAACCUGAUAUGGAAUGUUUGUACCGCUUGUACAGGAUAGGUAGGAGCCGAAGAGACGUGUGCGCUAGCAUACGAGGAGGCAAUGGUGGGAUACUACCCUGGCUGUAUGACCAUUCUAACCCGCCACGCUUAGCGCGUGGGGAGACAGUGUCAGGUGGGCAGUUUGACUGGGGCGGUCGCCUCCUAAAGAGUAACGGAGGCGCCCAAAGGUUCCCUCAGAAUGGAUGGAAAUCAUUCGCAGAGUGUAAAGGCACAAGGGAGCUUGACUGCGAGACUGACAAGUCGAGCAGGGACGAAAGUCGGGCUUAGUGAUCCGGUGGUUCCGCAUGGAAGGGCCAUCGCUCAACGGAUAAAAGCUACCCCGGGGAUAACAGGCUUAUCUCCCCCAAGAGUCCACAUCGACGGGGAGGUUUGGCACCUCGAUGUCGGCUCGUCGCAUCCUGGGGCUGUAGUCGGUCCCAAGGGUUGGGCUGUUCGCCCAUUAAAGCGGCACGCGAGCUGGGUUCAGAACGUCGUGAGACAGUUCGGUCCCUAUCCGUCGCGGGCGCAGGAAAUUUGAGAGGAGCUGUCCUUAGUACGAGAGGACCGGGAUGGACACACCGCUGGUGUACCAGUUGUUCCGCCAGGAGCAUCGCUGGGUAGCUAUGUGUGGCAGGGAUAAACGCUGAAAGCAUCUAAGCGUGAAGCCCCCCUCAAGAUGAGAUUUCCCAUUUCUUCGGAAAGUAAGAUCCCUGAAAGAUGAUCAGGUAGAUAGGUUUGGAGUGGAAGUGUAGCGAUACAUGGAGCGGACAAAUACUAAUCGAUCGAGGACUUAACCAA